rnacentral:misc_RNA from 1 species
AACUUUUGGCAACGGAUCUCUUGGCUCUCGCAUCGAUGAAGAACGCAGCGAAAUGCGAUAAGUAAUGUGAAUUGCAGAAUUCAGUGAAUCAUCGACUCUUUGAACGCACCUUGCGCUCCUUGGUAUUCCGAGGAGCAUGCCUGUUUGAGUGUCAUUAAAUUCUCAACCCAUUCAGCUGUCAUGGCUGGCAUGUGGAUUGGAUAUGGGGGUUGUUGCGGGCCUUUGUAGAGUUCAGCUCCCCUGAAGUGUAUUAGCGGAACGGUUUGCGGUACAUCACUGGUGUGAUAGUUAUCUACGCCAAACAUGAUGAACGCUCUCUGAAUGUUCAGCUUCUAAUGGUCCCAUUGAUGUGGACAACUUUUGAACGUUUGACCUCAAAUCAGGUAGGACUACCCGCUGAACUUAAGCAUAUCAAUAAGCGGAGGCU